GGCCCCCAAACUCCUUUAAUUUCCCCUUUUCUACUAGACCAGGCGUACCAGGCCAAAAUAAAUGCUUUCCCUACCAACAACAUCUGCCUACUAAGCAGCCCCGACCCUCUGCUGUGAAGACCUAACAAUAAGGCACCACUGCCCACUGCCCAUUGGGCAGCCCAGGCAUCCAAACCGUUUCCAUGCCCUCUUUUCUACUAAGCCAGACUUACCACCCCAAAGUAAAUGAGCUUUCCCUACCGCCAACAUCUGCCCACUGAGCAGCCCUGACCCUCUGCUGUGAAGAACUAACAAUGGGGCACCACUGCCCACUGCUCAUCGACCAGCCCAGGCACCCUAACUGUUUCAUUGCCCUCUUUUCUACUAAGCCAGGCUUACCACCCCAAAGUAAAUGACCUUCUCCUGCCCCCAAUAACUGCCUACUGAGCGGCCCUGGUGCCCUGCUGCUAAGACUAACAUGUAGCUCUGUCCCACUUCUACUAAGACCGCACAUUGAGCUGCGUUGACCCCUGCCCAUUGGGCAAACAAGGCCGCCAAACCCCCUUAAUUUCCUCUUUUCUACUAGACCAGGCUUACUACCCCAAAGUCAGUGAGCUCCUCCUGCCCCCAAUUAUCUGCACACUGAGCAGCCCUAGCCCUAUACCAUUAAGAUGUGGGCAGUGGGCAGCCAAGGCCCCUUAAUCACCUCCAUUUCCCCCUUCUCUACUAGGCCAGGCCACCUCCAAAAAUUGAGGGAGCUUCCCCUGCCCCCAAUAUCUACGCACUGAGCGACCCUGACCCUCUGCUGUGAAGACCUAACAAUGAGGCACCACUACCCACUGCCCAUUGGGCAGCCCAGGCACCCUAACAGUUUCCAUGCCUUCUUAUCUACUAGGCCAGGCUUACCACCCCAAAGCCAGGCUUACCACCCCAACGUGAGUGAGCUGCUCCUGCCCCCAACAUCUGCCCACUGAACAGCCCUGACCCCCUGCUCUGAAGACAUAACAAUGAGCUGGCCUCGCCCCUGGUGACACUGAGGUUACCUUGCCCACUGCCCAUUGUGCCUAACCGUUUCCAUGCCCUCUUUUCUACUAGGCCAGGCUUACCACCCCAAAGCCAGGCUUACCACCCCAACGUGAGUGAGCUGCUCCUGCCCCCAACAUCUGCCCACUGAACAGCCCUGACCCCCUGCUCUGAAGACAUAACAAUGAGCUGGCCUCGCCCCUGGUGACACUGAGGUUACCUUGCCCACUGCCCAUUAUGCCUAACCGUUUCCAUGCCUCCUUUUCUACUAGGCCAGGCUUACCACCCCAAAGCCAGGCUUACCACCCCAACGUGAGUGAGCUGCUCCUGCCCCCAACAUCUGCCCACUGAACAGCCCUGACCGUCUGCUGUGAAGACCUAACAAUGAGGCACCACUCCCCACUGCCCAUUGGGCAGCCCAGGCAUCCAAACCGUUUCCAUGCCCUCUUUUCUACUAGGCCAGGCUUACCACCCCAAAGCCAGGCUUACCACCCCAACGUGAGUGAGCUGCUCCUGCCCCCAACAUCUGCCCACUGAACAGCCCUGACCGUCUGCUGUGAAGACAUAACAAUGAAACACCACUGCCCACUGCCCAUUGGGCAGCCCAGGCAUCCAAA